rnacentral:tRNA from 2 species
UGACCCAUGGUGUAAUGGCAGCACUGCAGAUUUUGAUUCUGCCUGUUAAGGUUCGAGUCCUUAUGGGUCAA